rnacentral:rRNA from 1 species
AUUGAACGCUGGCGGCAGGCCUAAUACAUGCCAGUCGAGCGAGCGGCGGACGGGUGCGUAAUGCCUGGGCAUUGCCCAGUCCACGGGGAUAACAGUUGGAAACGACUGAUAACUCCGCAUAUGAUUGGAUUGCCCAGGUGGGAUUAGCUAGUCGGUGAGGUAAUGGCUCACCAAGGCGACGAUCCCUAGCUGGUCUGAGAGGAUGAUCGGCCAAACUGGAACUGAGACACGGUCCAGACUCCUACGGGAGGCAGCAGUGGGGAAUAUUGCGCAAGGGGGGAAACCCUGAUGCAGCAAUGCCGCGUGUGUGAAGAAGGCAGUCGGGUAGUAAAGCACUUUCAGCGAGGAGGCGUUACUCGCAGAAGAAGCACCGGCUAACUCCGUGCCAGCAGCCGCGGUAAUUC